UGAUGUGAGUGGACCUGGCCACAGGCUGAUCCAGCUGGCUAGGCAGGUGCCUCCUCCCUCCCUCCCUCCCCCUGUGGUAGGCGCCCCUCCUAAAGCUUCCUCCACCGUCUAAGAGGGUGGCCUACCUGCGAGAGGAAGAACUGUCUUGGGUCAAGAGUACAAGAGUAGCUGUACUCCCCUGCCUGAAGCCUCAGACAAGCUGGGAAAGUCCAUGUGUGAAGCGGUGUAGGGUAGCCAAGCUUCCAGGGCUCCAGCAAAUGAGGCAUUGCCUGUGGCCAUGUGCCCUAAAAA
rnacentral:snRNA from 1 species